rnacentral:rRNA from 1 species
GAUGAACGCUGGCGGCGUGCCUAAUACAUGCCAGUCGAGCGAACAGACGAGGAGCUUGCUCCUCUGACGUUAGCGGCGGACGGGUGAGUAACACGUGGAUAACCUACCUAUAAGACUGGGAUAACUUCGGGAAACCGGAGCUAAUACCGGAUAAUAUAUUGAACCGCAUGGUUCAAUAGUGAAAGACGGUUUUGCUGUCACUUAUAGAUGGAUCCGCGCCGCAUUAGCUAGUUGGUAAGGUAACGGCUUACCAAGGCAACGAUGCGUAGCCGACCUGAGAGGGUGAUGGCCCACACUGGCACGGAAACACGGUCAAGCCUCCAAGGAGGGGCACCAGUAGGCAUUCUUCCAGAAGGGGUGAAAGCCGUACGGAGCAGCGCCGCGUGAGUAAUAAGUGUCUUCGGAUAAUAAAACUGUUUUUUGAGGGAAAAAAAAAUGUAUAAUUAACUAGCCUCUUCUUGACGAUCCCUACUAGGAAGACCCCGGCUAACUACAUG